rnacentral:hammerhead_ribozyme from 1 species
GCACUGCUGAGGAAUCCCAUAAUAGGACGAAACGGUUGUCCAGUGC